AUACGGAGGAUGCGAGCGUUAUCCGGAUUUAUUGGGUUUAAAGGGAGCGUAGGUGGGAUAUUAAGUCAGCUGUGAAAGUUUGGGGCUCAACCUUAAAAUUGCAGUUGAUACUGGUUUCCUUGAGUACGGUACAGGUGGGCGGAAUUCGUGGUGUAGCGGUGAAAUGCUUAGAUAUCACGAAGAACUCCGAUCGCGAAGGCAGCUCACCGGGCCGGAACUGACACUGAUGCUCGAAAGUGCGGGUAUCAAACAGGAUUAGAUACCCUGGUAGUCCGCACAGUAAACGAUGAAUACUCGCUGUUUGCGAUACACUGUAAGCGGCCAAGCGAAGGCGUUAAGUAUUCCACCUGGGGAGUACGCCGGCAACGGUGAAACUCAAAUGAAUUGGCGGGG
rnacentral:rRNA from 1 species